UACGGGGGGGGCAAGCGUUGUUCGGAAUUACUGGGCGUAAAGGGCUCGUAGGCGGCCAACUAAGUCAGACGUGAAAUCCCUCGGCUUAACCGGGGAACUGCGUCUGAUACUGGAUGGCUUGGAUUUGGGAGAGGGAUGCGGAAUUCCAGGUGUAGCGGUGAAAUGCGUAGAUAUCUGGAGGAACACCGGUGGCGAAGGCGGCAUCCUGGACCAAUAUUGACGCUGAGGAGCGAAAGCCAGGGGAGCAAACGGG
rnacentral:rRNA from 1 species